UUGGCUUCUGUGGUGGAAAAUCAGUUGUCAUAAUCUUUAAUCAUGUACUGAAUGCCUUUCACGCACAAUCUGCUCUAUAAGACACUUAAGAGUUCCCAUUCUCAAGGAGCGUUCCAUACACUUUAGGGCAUAAUGCAUAUACACAUUUACAAGCAUGAAAAAAAUUGGGUGGUAUAUGCCAAAAAUAUGAUAGGUGCUCAGAGGAGAGAUCUCUGUGAACUGGGUUGGUGGGAGACUUGAAUAUUUAGGAUCUGAGUUAACUCUUUAAUGACACAAAGGAUCUGGAAACCUGAGACUUGGCUAUGUCUCUUUGGACAAGUGACUUCUCAGAGCCUUAGUGUCCUUUUUAAGUGGGGACAGCCUCAAUGAGAAGGACACUAAAGGUGGCAUGUGCCAGCAUCUUUUACUCUUCUCUCUGCUAGAAUGCAGGUACAACACUCAAAGGAACACCAGUCAUCCUGUGGACACAGGCAUGAAAACUACCUGCUCAGGGUGGCAGAUCAGGAAGCCAGCAGCAGCCUGCCUCCUCUGCAAGCUGCAUGAGCUCCAGCUGCCCACCACCCGAUUUCUUGUUAUGUGAGAAAAGCAACCCCUACUGUUUAAGCCACAGUGGUCGAGUUUUUGUUUUUGAAAGUGCUGAUAUCCUCAAUGGACUCCUCUUCUGUGGUCAACAAUACUUUUCAUUGAGAAAAAUACUCAAUUUACAAGAGCAAAGUGAGCUGGGGAGUCCAACAGAGUCUGCUAAAUGGAAGAUACUCUCAAUUUCUCAAUUCUAACUCCUUUUUUCUAACCAAAAUGUAUAGAUAUUUCAGUCCAAAUGUUUGGCAGUACUGACUAGUUUUGUUCAAUGCCAUUUCAUUGUAACAUUAAUGAGAGAAGGAGAGAGAGAGAAAGUAAGGGAAGGGAAGGCGGAAGGGAAGAAGGUAGGGAAGGGAAAGAAGGAAGGAAGGAAAGGAAAGGUGAAAGGAAAGAAAAAAGGAAAGGAAAGGAAAGGAAAGAAAACGGAUUCCUGACUGGGCCACUGUGUGGGGGCUGCAUGUUCUCUCCAAGUCUACAUGGGUUUUCUCCAGGGCUCCAGCUUCUUCCCAUAACCCAAAGAUGUACAUGUCAGGUGAACUGAACUGGGGUGUCUGUGUGGUCCCAGGAUAAGUAAGUGUACAUGUGUGUGUGUGUAGGGGGGUGCUGCCAUGGGUGGCUGUCCCAUCCACAGUUGGUGCUCACCUUGCACCCCCAGCUGCCAGGACACGCUGUAGCCACCUGUGACCCUGAAAUGGAAUAACUGGGCAAAUAAUUAUCUUCCUUGUUUUUAUUAAUCUUUCUUUUUCUUUUCUUUUUUUUUUU